GCAAACGCUGAAACGUUCAAGGACAAGGGGGAUGUGAAGACCCAGGACAAGUUUGAAGGCCAGUCACAAGCCAGCUAGUUCCUGAAUAAUCCACUGCUCAACGAGGAUUCCCUUCAACAAACACGAUGCAGAAUAACCACAUCGAGACCACGGUUGGGUUAACAAACCACGGAUUCUAUAUAACGUCAGUCCAACAGUCAGCUGACAGAUCCAAAGGGCUAUGGAGACCAUGGGCUGUCCAGAAAGAGUCGCACAGAAACCGAAGUAGACUGUAUAGCUUGGUUGUUUUGGCCCAAAUCGAAGUGCUAUGACUAUCUGUACCAAGAAGCGAAGGCGCUGCUGAGAAACUACCCAGUUCAGGAUACAAUCUCAUUUUACGAGGAUUCUGACAGUGAUGAUGAGAGCGAUUCAGAGGAGGAAGAGGAGCUGAAUUAGAAGAUUGUGCACUGGAAAUAAUGACUGAUACAAGUUAUAGAUCGGCUAUGUCUUACGUAUAGUUUUUCUAAAGUUUUAAAAAAAACUUUGUUAAAGAAUUGGAGUCUUUAUUUUAAUAUGUAUCAAAUCUUUCAACAUUUAGUUUCCCUACGUUUGUGUUUUAUUUCUUGUUAAUAUAAAGAACAAGAAGGGGUACAGUACCCAACUGCAAUGUGGAUGUAUGCCACAGAGAUUUGUAGACAUGCAAAAUAUCUCAGUCUUACCACUAUUUUGCUAAUUUACUGCAUUUCCAGCUAACAUGAAUAUCAGUUUGAUAAUAUACAG